rnacentral:lncRNA from 1 species
AUGCAAGGAGAAGGGGAAGAAGGAGAGGAAAGAGCUCUGCAUGCAAAAUGUCUCCUGAACAAGACCAGGAACCUCCUGCUUGGAACAGAAGCCUCCUCUGACCCAGCUGCAUGCUGCUGCCAUUGGAAUGAUGUGGGAUACCGAGUGCUGUAUACAUUUCUGCCUAGAUUUUUCUGGACUGGGAGCCACGAGGAAAAGAAUUGGAUGAACAAGAAUGGCACUUGUGGGGAUAAAUCCAGUCCCUGGAAAAUUACAGCUGCUACAUCACUCUUUUCUCAAGGUCAGCAGCCAUCACUGCAAUCUUUCUGCCAUGAGCAAGAGUCACUGGGUAGUUCUUGCUACAGUACUGGGAAAUAA